rnacentral:lncRNA from 1 species
UUCAAGUUUUCAACACCAUUUGUGGUAAAAAAAUAUUGGAAGUAACCUCGAGCAAUCUGUUUCAUCAUUUCCAUCUCUCUAGUGUCCCUUCCAUUUUCAUCGUUCAGACAGUGAAUAUUUUUCAUCCUUCUUUGCUGGGAUGUAGUUUGUGAAAGAAUGUAGUAUUUCUAUCUCCAUGUUUUAACCAAUUCGUACGCGCUUUUUGUUCCCAAAAGACUUCUUCUUUCUUGACCUCCAUGUUAAAAUGUAACUUAACCUCCAUUAAAUUCUCAAGAUUUUCCUCAUCUCUCUCCUAGUUAUUUAGAGACUCCAUUUUUUUGUAAUAUAUUCCAUAAGCCAUCGUCAUUUCAUACGGAUCUUUCUUUCCCAAGUUUUCAAACCCUUUUGCAACAAGAUCAAUCUUUUU